AACACACGACUGUCUUCUUCCUCCCACUUCGAAUUUCACUCAAACCCACAAUAUUUCUCUAUUGCGUGAAAUACCCAAAUUUCGAUUUCACUCAUAUCUCGCCGCUGCUGCGCCACCAAUAUCCCGCAGGCCGCUGCUGCGCCGUCGUCUCUGUUUUGCAUUUUUUGGGGAAUUUGAAUUUUGGCCUAACCGCUCACAGCCCCCCCCCCCGGCGUGCAGUUCAAUCCGUUCCCUCCGCCGUUCAAACUUUGAAUUCGCCGUUCAAUCCGCUCACAGACCCUCAAUCCGCCGACGAUGUCCAGUUCAAGCUCGUUCGCCGAUUGAAACAAUUAAAGUGUUUCAAGUCCUCCGCUGCCUCCGACGAUUGAAACAAUUAAAUAGGACGCCGUCGGAUUUGGUCACCCACACCGCUGCCAAGCCCUCUGCCGCCGCCGUCGGAUUCCGCCGCUGCCAAGCUCUCUUCCGCCGCCGCCAAACUCGUGGGCUAAGAGCUGGACAAGUAGGAGCAAAGAAGGGGAUAAGUUUUGUUGAGGUUCCUUUGGCUGUUAUUCGUGGCUGACAAACAUGGUUUUCGUACCUCAAUAUCGCAUGAAUUGUUGUCAUUUUCCCCCAUGAAUUGAUUGCUAAUAUGUGUUUGUAUCCCAAUUUUGAGUUUUGUUGAGUUUUAAUUCCUUGGUGUAGUUUUGGAGUGAUUUCAGGGAAAAUCAAGAAUUAAUUGGAGGAUUUUGAAGACAUGAGAUCGAAGUACGUCUCGAGAGGAAUCCGUGAGCGCAAACGGCGACCAAAUCCGAGUCCGGACGAGGGAGAACGGAGCAAAACGAGCGGACUGUGCAAAACGCCCAGUACCCCGCGGUCACCACCCGCGGCCGCGGGGUAAGACCGCGGGUCAGCUGUUCCCGACUCAGGAGACACCCGCGGUCACCACCCGCGGCCGCGGGGCGGGACCGCGGGUCCCCUGAGCAUCCCCCACGUUUGAAGGCCGCGGACGCGGGCCGUGACCGCGGGAAAAGGGCGGGGCUCCCCCAAAUGGACCCCAAACGCGAUUUUAGCCUCAAAACUCCAUUUUUCUCUUCUUUUCCCCAUUCAUUCACCACACACACCCAAUUCAUCUUCCCCAACCUCAUACUCACCCAUUUUCCAUCUUCCCCAAUUCAUUCACACCAAACCCUAGCCUCCAUUACCACAUCUUUUUACCAAGAUUGAAGGCAUUGAAGAGGAGAGAAGAUUGAAGAAAGCUCA